AUAUAUAUAUAGUAGAGCUAGAAUACUUAUAAAAGUAUCAUCCAAGUGAUUUUUGUGUGUUUUUAGCCCUUGGAUGGAGAGAUGUGAGGUUGAUAUGAUAGUGGUAGGUGGUGAUAGGUGGUGGUAGGUGGAAUAGUGUUUGAUCCAAGGGCUAUUAGUAAUUAAAAAGUAGAUCCAAUGGCUAAAAACACACAAGUAUCACUUGGGUGAUACUUGUAAAAGUAUUCUAGCCCUACUU
rnacentral:lncRNA from 1 species